AAUUUUGGACAAUGGGCGCAAGCCUGAUCCAGCAAUGCCGCGUGUGUGAAGAAGGCCUUCGGGUUGUAAAGCACUUUUGUCCGGAAAGAAAACCUCGUGGUUAAUACCCGUGGGGGAUGACGGUACCGGAAGAAUAAGCACCGGCUAACUACGUGCCAGCAGCCGCGGUAAUACGUAGGGUGCAAGCGUUAAUCGGAAUUACUGGGCGUAAAGCGUGCGCAGGCGGUUCGCUAAGACAGAUGUGAAAUCCCCGGGCUUAACCUGGGAACUGCAUUUGUGACUGGCGGGCUAGAGUAUGGCAGAGGGGGGUAGAAUUCCACGUGUAGCAGUGAAAUGCGUAGAGAUGUGGAGGAAUACCGAUGGCGAAGGCAGCCCCCUGGGCCAAUACUGACGCUCAUGCACGAAAGCGUGGGGAGCAAACAGGAUUAGAUACCCUGGUAGUCCACGCCCUAAACGAUGUCAACUAGUUGUCGGGUCUUCAUUGACUUGGUAACGUAGCUAACGCGUGAAGUUGACCGCCUGGGGAGUACGGUCGCAAGAUUAAAACUCAAAGGAAUUGACGGGGACCCGCACAAGCGGUGGAUGAUGUGGAUUAAUUCGAUGCAACGCGAAAAACCUUACCUACCCUUGACAUGUAUGGAACCCUGCUGAGAGGUGGGGGUGCCCGAAAGGGAGCCAUAACACAGGUGCUGCA
rnacentral:rRNA from 1 species